UCCAGGGUAGCCUAGUGGACAUGGCAUCUGCCCGGUAAGCGGAACGUUGUGGGUUCCCAUCCCUGGAC
rnacentral:tRNA from 1 species